GUACGCCUGGUGCGAGCCCCCCGGCAUCAGCGAAGGUCCCCGUCGGGCGCCCUCCUCGCCGCCGGAGACGCCCAUGCCGAGGUACAGAAGCCCCCGCUCCGCCGCCUCCCGCUGGCGGCGCUCGGUGUUCUCGUACCACUCGUUGCCACCGUCGACGAUGGCGUCCCCGGGCUCGAGGAACUCCGAGAGAGCGGCGAUGGUCUGGUCCACGGGGGCGCCGGCCUUGACGAGGAUGACAACGGAGCGGGGCCUGGCGAUGGAGAGGACGAACUCCCUAGGGUUGUAGUGCCCGCGCAGCGGCAGAUUUCCCUCCUCGGCGGCGCGGGC
rnacentral:lncRNA from 1 species